GAUGAACGCUAGCGAUAGGCUUAACACAUGCAAGUCGAGGGGCAGCAUGGUCUUAGCUUGCUAAGACUGAUGGCGACCGGCGCACGGGUGCGUAACGCGUAUGCAACUUGCCUCACAGAGGGGGAUAACCCGUCGAAAGACGGACUAAUACCGCGUACACUUGGGAUAGGGCAUCCUCACCCAAGGAAAUGAAAUUCGCUGUAAGAUAGGCAUGCGUCCCAUUAGCUAGUUGGUGAGGUAACGGCUCACCAAGGCGACGAUGGGUAGGGGAACUGAGAGGUUGAACCCCCACACUGGUACUGGGACACGGACCAGACUACUGCGGGAGGCAGCAGUGAGGAAUAUUGGGCAAUGGGCGAGAGCCUGAACCAGCCAAGUAGCGUGAAGGAUGACUGUCUUAUGGAUUGUAAACUUCUUUUAUACGGGAAUAACAAGAGCCACGUGUGGCUCCCUGCAUGUACCGGAUGAAUAAGCAUCGGCUAACUCCGUG
rnacentral:rRNA from 1 species